rnacentral:rRNA from 1 species
UGGGGAAUUUUGGACAAUGGGCGAAAGCCUGAUCCAGCAAUGCCGCGUGUGUGAAGAAGGCCUUCGGGUUGUAAAGCACUUUUGUCCGGAAAGAAAUCCUUGGCUCUAAUACAGUCGGGGGAUGACGGUACCGGAAGAAUAAGCACCGGCUAACUACGUGCCAGCAGCCGCGGUAAUACGUAGGGUGCAAGCGUUAAUCGGAAUUACUGGGCGUAAAGCGUGCGCAGGCGGUUUGCUAAGACCGAUGUGAAAUCCCCGGGCUCAACCUGGGAACUGCAUUGGUGACUGGCAGGCUAGAGUAUGGCAGAGGGGGGUAGAAUUCCACGUGUAGCAGUGAAAUGCGUAGAGAUGUGGAGGAAUACCGAUGGCGAAGGCAGCCCCCUGGGCCAAUACUGACGCUCAUGCACGAAAGCGUGGGGAGCAAACAGGAUUAGAUACCCUGGUAGUCCACGCCCCUAAAACGAUGUCAACUAGUUGUUGGGGGAUUCAUUUCCUUAGUAACGUAGCUAACGCGUGAAGUUGACCGCCUGGGGAGUACGGUCGCAAGAUUAAAACUCAAAUGAAUUGACGGGGUCAUAGCUGUUUCCU